rnacentral:rRNA from 1 species
GACGAACGCUGGCGGCGUGCCUAAUACAUGCAAGUCGAACGCUUUUUCUUUCACCGGAGCUUGCUCCACCGAAAGAAAAAGAGUGGCGAACGGGUGAGUAACACGUGGGUAACCUGCCCAUCAGAAGGGGAUAACACUUGGAAACAGGUGCUAAUACCGUAUAACACUAUUUUCCGCAUGGAAGAAAGUUGAAAGGCGCUUUUGCGUCACUGAUGGAUGGACCCGCGGUGCAUUAGCUAGUUGGUGAGGUAACGGCUCACCAAGGCAACGAUGCAGGUCCGCCCUGGAGGGGUGAUCGGCCACACUGGGACGGAGACACGGCCCAGACGCCUGCGGGAGGCAGCAGUAGGGAAUCUUCGGCAAUGGACGAAAGUCUGACCGAGCAACGCCGCGUGAGUGAAGAAGGUUUUCGGAUCGUAAAACUCUGUUGUUAGAGAAGAACAAGGAUGAGAGUAAAAUGUUCAUCCCUUGACGGUAUCUAACCAGAAAGCCACGGCUAACUACGUGCCAGCAGCCGCAGUAA